rnacentral:rRNA from 1 species
UGAGUAACACGUAUCCAACUUCCCAUAACUCAGGGAUAGCCUUUCGAAGAAAGAUUAAUACCUGAUAGACUUUUUCAAGGCAUCUUGAGAAGUUAAAGAUUUAUGGUUAUGGAUGGGGAUGCGUUCCAUUAGAUAGUUGGUGAGGUAACGGCUCACCAAGUCUUCGAUGGAUAGGGGUUCUGAGAGGAAGGUCCCCCACAUUGGUACUGAGACACGGACCAAACUCCUACGGGAGGCAGCAGUGAGGAAUAUUGGUCAAUGGGCGAGAGCCUGAACCAGCCAAGUAGCGUGAAGGAUUGAAGGUCCUAUGGAUUGUAAACUUCUUUUAUAGUAGAAUAAAGUGAUCCACGUGUGGAUUUUUGUAUGUAUACUAUGAAUAAGGAUCGGCUAACUCCGUGCCAGCCGCUGC